GUCCACGCCGUAAACGAUGGACACUUGGUGUUGGUGGUAUUGACCCCAUCAGUGCCGUAGCAAACGCGAUAAGUGUCCCGCCUGGGGAGUACGGUCGCAAGAUUAAAACUCAAAGAAAUUGACGGGGGCCCGCACAAGCGGUGGAGCAUGUGGUUUAAUUCGAUGCAACGCGAAAAACCUUACCUGGGCUUGACAUCUAGGGGAAGAAUUCCAGAGAUGGAUUCGUCUUCGGACUCCUAGACA
rnacentral:rRNA from 1 species